rnacentral:rRNA from 1 species
GACGAACGCUGGCGGCGUGCCUAAUACAUGCAAGUAGAACGCUGAAGAGAGGAGCUUGCUCUUCUUGGAUGAGUUGCGAACGGGUGAGUAACGCGUAGGUAACCUGCCUUGUAGCGGGGGAUAACUAUUGGAAACGAUAGCUAAUACCGCAUAACAAUGGAUGACCCAUGUCAUUUAUUUGAAAGGGGCAAAUGCUCCACUACAAGAUGGACCUGCGUUGUAUUAGCUAGUAGGUGAGGUAACGGCUCACCUAGGCGACGAUACAUAGCCGACCUGAGAGGGUGAUCGGCCACACUGGGACUGAGACACGGCCCAGACUCCUACGGGAGGCAGCAGUAGGGAAUCUUCGGCAAUGGGGGCAACCCUGACCGAGCAACGCCGCGUGAGUGAAGAAGGUUUUCGGAUCGUAAAGCUCUGUUGUAAGUCAAGAACGAGUGUGAGAGUGGAAAGUUCACACUGUGACGGUAGCUUACCAGAAAGGGACGGCUAACUACGUGCCAGCAGCCGCGGUAAUACGUAGGUCCCGAGCGUUGUCCGGAUUUAUUGGGCGUAAAGCGAGCGCAGGCGGUUUGAUAAGUCUGAAGUUAAAGGCUGUGGCUCAACCAUAGUUCGCUUUGGAAACUGUCAAACUUGAGUGCAGAAGGGGAGAGUGGAAUUCCAUGUGUAGCGGUGAAAUGCGUAGAUAUAUGGAGGAACACCGGUGGCGAAAGCGGCUCUCUGGUCUGUAACUGACGCUGAGGCUCGAAAGCGUGGGGAGCGAACAGGAUUAGAUACCCUGGUAGUCCACGCCGUAAACGAUGAGUGCUAGGUGUUGGAUCCUUUCCGGGAUUCAGUGCCGCAGCUAACGCAUUAAGCACUCCGCCUGGGGAGUACGACCGCAAGGUUGAAACUCAAAGGAAUUGACGGGGGCCCGCACAAGCGGUGGAGCAUGUGGUUUAAUUCGAAGCAACGCGAAGAACCUUACCAGGUCUUGACAUCCCGAUGCUAUUUCUAGAGAUAGAAAGUUACUUCGGUACAUCGGUGACAGGUGGUGCAUGGUUGUCGUCAGCUCGUGUCGUGAGAUGUUGGGUUAAGUCCCGCAACGAGCGCAACCCCUAUUGUUAGUUGCCAUCAUUCAGUUGGGCACUCUAGCGAGACUGCCGGUAAUAAACCGGAGGAAGGUGGGGAUGACGUCAAAUCAUCAUGCCCCUUAUGACCUGGGCUAUACACGUGCUACAAUGGUUGGUACAACGAGUUGCGAGUCGGUGACGGCAAGCUAAUCUCUUAAAGCCAAUCUCAGUUCGGAUUGUAGGCUGCAACUCGCCUACAUGAAGUCGGAAUCGCUAGUAAUCGCGGAUCAGCACGCCGCGGUGAAUACGUUCCCGGGCCU